rnacentral:rRNA from 1 species
GCAGUAAGGAAUAUUGGUCAAUGGAGGCAACUCUGAACCAGCCAUGCCGCGUGCAGGAAGACAGCCCUCUGGGUCGUAAACUGCUUUUAUUCGGGAAUAAACCUACUUACGUGUAAGUAGCUGAAUGUACCGAAGGAAUAAGGAUCGGCUAACUCCGUGCCAGCAGCCGCGGUAAUACGGAGGAUCCAAGCGUUAUCCGGAUUUAUUGGGUUUAAAGGGUGCGUAGGCGGCUUUUUAAGUCAGGGGUGAAAGACGGUAGCUCAACUAUCGCAGUGCCCUUGAUACUGAAGAGCUUGAAUGGACUAGAGGUAGGCGGAAUGUGACAAGUAGCGGUGAAAUGCAUAGAUAUGUCACAGAACACCGAUUGCGAAGGCAGCUUACUAUGGUUUAAUUGACGCUGAGGCACGAAAGCGUGGGGAUCAAACAGGAUUAGA